UUCACUCGGGAAUUUGGAGCUGCUUCGGUGAAAAUCUCCCUUCGAUACUAGCAAUAGCAGCUCCCGGAGGCUUGCUACUUCUCAAAUACCUAUCUGGAGCCUGACUGUUUGCCCAGCAGUCGAUUGCAUUUCCAGUAACGCACGCAUAGAAAACCAGGGGAAAGCGAGGGGUUGUGGAGUUCAAAACCGCCACCGCCAAAGUUCCUGUCUUUAUGCUGUCUUUUGUUGCAUCAGGAAAAGUUCCAAAAAACGGUAGCCUGGUUACUGCUUAAGGAAGGGUUUGUGGCUUCUUGCUGGCUCUUUUGUUCUUUCUUUCAUUCUUUCCCCGAGUAAUAAGCAACAGAGGAUACAAGAGAGCAAAAACCUUGUGAUAAUUAAGCAUCUGCCACAUUAUAUCCCGGUACAUCUGAUACAAAAACAUCUCCUGACACAUGCUGAGGUUCUCAGUGCUGCUGUAAGCUGAACUGCUUUGGGAAAUUUUCCAAGGAAUAAUGGGCAGAGUUCUCAAGGACGAGGCGAGGAGGACAGAGCAAGGAAAAACCACCAAACAGGAUAAGCUGUUGCAAGAAGCUAAGUUCAGCUGACAUUUCGGAUGAGGCCUCAGAUUUCUGAGAAGUUCACCGUUUCUCUGGGAUUGCCAACUUUUCCAAAAGCUACUACUUCAGACAGAGCGAGCAAUUUUGCAGUUCCCCGGCAUGUGGAUUU
rnacentral:lncRNA from 1 species